CAGCCAGCUGGCCUAUUCCUUCAGCAACACCGGCUCUAAACCACCGCAAAAACUAGAAGGACAACUCCCAGCAGGCAUCCUAAAGACUUGCAACAGGCCAUGAUGGUUUCCAAGACACAAGCUAACCUCCACCCUUUCGAUACCAUCACUGAAUCUCCCACAAUCGACAUCAUUGGGGUUAUCAUUGACGAGAAACUGAAUGAGCCAAAAUACAAUGGCUACAACAGCGGGUCAGAAGCUGGGAAUCCUGCGAAUCGCCAGGAAUUUCAGUCAAAUCGCGACACAACAUCGAGAGAUUGCGAUUGGAUGAGAGAGUGCUGUUGAGCGAUACCAGGAACUGUGAAGGAGGCAAUCUCCUCACUGAGGCAAAAUUA